UACGUAGGGACCGAGCGUUGUCCGGAAUCAUUGGGCGUAAAGAGCGUGUAGGCGGCUUGUUAAGUCUUGCGUGAAAUCUCGGGGCUCAACCCCGAGCGGUCGUGAGAAACUGGCAGGCUAGAGUGCGGGAGAGGAGAGUGGAAUUCCUGGUGUAGUGGUGAAAUGCGUAGAUAUCGGGAGGAACACCAGUGGCGAAGGCGACUUCCUGGCCUGUUCUUGACGCUGAGGCGCGAAAGCUAGGGGAGCAAACGGG
rnacentral:rRNA from 1 species